rnacentral:tRNA from 1 species
AGCCCUGAGGUGUUUUCACGUUAGAUUGCAAACCUAAAGAAGUAGGCUAGUCGCCUGCCGGGGCUU